rnacentral:rRNA from 1 species
GACGAACCGUGCAAACGUUAUUCGGAAUCACUGGGCAUAAAGGGCGCGUAGGCGGCUCCAAAAGUCAGGGGUGAAAUCCGGCAGCUUAACUGUCGCAGUGCCUUUGAUACUGUGGAGCUAGAGGGAGGUAGGGGUCUGUGGAACUUCCGGUGGAGCGGUGAAAUGCGUUGAUAUCGGAGGGAACGCCGGUGGCGAAAGCGACGGACUGGAUCUCUUCUGACGCUGAGGCGCGAAAGCCAGGGGAGCAAACGGG